GGCCAGUCGCUAGUAUGCAAUGUUUACCAGGAAAAGAUACAUGUAAGUAAUUAAAGGACUUAUCUUUACAAACCAGUCAUAUUUAUAACUUAAUUUUAAUGUUAUUUGCUUAAACAACUGCCGCCCAGACGGAGUGCGUCAACGUUCAAAAUAUAUCAAGUAAAUAAGUUAUAUUUCAAGUAUAAAUAAAUAAUAUUCUUGCGUUGAAGUCAUGUGGGGCAUCGCAAAUAUUAACCUGUAUUUCAAGGUCAUAUUCCUUCUUCUCCUACAACUAUCUUCAGUGGUUCUCUACCAGGGUCUCAGCUUCGCAGACCAGGCUUCUUGCCCCAUGUGCCUUGGCGACCUGGAGCCUGUCUGCGCUUCUGAUGGCCACACCUAUUGGAAUGAAGAAUGCGCCAAAUGUUUCAACCCUGACCUGACCAUCAGUCAGAAGGGAUUCUGUCCAAGAAUUGAUGUGGAGUUUGAAGGUUAAAUAAAUGUGUUUUUGAAAA